GGAGGUGUUUCCCUCUUGGUCUCCCCUCUUCUAUCCGAGCUUGGCAGAGAGAGAUGUAUGUGCUCGUGACAUCUAUCUACGGCAUGUCGCCAUGUCGGGGUAGAUGAUCAGAUCAUUGGCCGGUGAUACAUAGCCCCCCUGGAUAGAUCAGAUGCGCUCGAUGUCCGGGGAGCGGUGGCAGCGCGGAGACGUCGGCACCAGCCGGGGAGAUGCCGUCGGUCUCCGAGCUAGGGUAGAAGAAGAAAUAGGUCAUGUUGCUAGCAGCUUCUGUCCAUUUAUUUACUUUUGUCGUUGU